UACGUAGGGGGCAAGCGUUAUCCGGAUUUACUGGGUGUAAAGGGGGCGCAGACGGCGAUGCAAGCCAGGAGUGAAAGCCCGGGGCCCAACCCCGGGACUGCUCUUGGAACUGCGUGGCUGGAGUGCAGGAGGGGCAGGCGGAAUUCCUGGUGUAGCGGUGAAAUGCGUAGAUAUCAGGAGGAACACCGGCGGCGAAGGCGGCCUGCUGGACCGCGACUGACGUUGAGGCUCGAAAGCGUGGGGAGCGAACAGG
rnacentral:rRNA from 1 species